GGUUUAUAGUAACAGAGUAGUCCGCGC
rnacentral:sRNA from 1 species